rnacentral:rRNA from 1 species
GAUGAACGCCGGCGGCGUGCUUAACACGUGCAAGUCGAACGGUGAAGCAGGAGCUUGCUCUUGUGGAUCAGUGGCGAACGGGUGAGUAACACGUGAGCAACCUGCCCCUGACUCUGGGAUAAGCGCUGGAAACGGCGUCUAAUACUGGAUAUGUGAUGUGACCGCAUGGUCUGCAUCUGGAAAGAAUUUCGGUUGGGGAUGGGCUCGCGGCCUAUCAGCUUGUUGGUGAGGUAAUGGCUCACCAAGGCGUCGACGGGUAGCCGGCCUGAGAGGGUGACCGGCCACACUGGGACUGAGACACGGCCCAGACUCCUACGGGAGGCAGCAGUGGGGAAUAUUGCACAAUGGGCGGAAGCCUGAUGCAGCAACGCCGCGUGAGGGAUGACGGCCUUCGGGUUGUAAACCUCUUUUAGCAGGGAAGAAGCGAAAGUGACGGUACCUGCAGAAAAAGCACCGGCUAACUACGUGCCAGCAGCCGCGGUAA